GACACACACACACACACACACACACACGGACACACACACACACACACACACACACACACGCACACACAUGCACUCACACACACACACACACACACACACACACACACACACGGACACACACACACACACACACACACACACACACGCACACACAUGCACACACACACACACACACACACACACGCACACACAUGCACUCACACACACACACACACACACACGGACACACACACACACGCACACACAUGCACUCACACACACACACACACACACACACACACACACGCACACACACACACGGACACACACACACACGCACACACAUGCACUCACACACACACACACACAAAAAUAGAAAAUAUUUUCCAAUAUUUUCUAUUAGCAAGGAGCUUAAAAACAAACCGAACGGGUCAACAAGAAAAAGACACAGAGGAGGUGAUGAGAGAACGGGGUGAGGAGAGAGGAGGUGAUGGGAGAACGGGGUGAGGAGAGAGGAGGUGAUGAGAGAACGGGGUGAGGAGAGAGGAGGUGAUGAGAGAAGAGGGUGAGGAGAGAGGAGGUGAUGAGAGAAGAGGGUGAGGAGAGAGGAGGUGAUGAGAGAACGGGCUACGGAGAGAGGAGGUGAUGGGAGAACGGGGUGAGGAGGGAGGAGGUGAUGAGAGAAGAGAGUGAGGAGAGAGGAGGUGAUGAGAGAGGAGGUGAUGAGAGAACGGGGUGAGGAGAGAGGAGGUGAUGAGAGAAGAGGGUGAGGAGAGAGGAGGUGAUGGGAGAACGGGGUGAGGAGAGACGAGGGGGCAUGGGAUGGAGGAGGGGGUGAGUGAGGGAGGGAGGGGGGCAGCGGAGGUAAAGGAUGUGACAGUAAGGGAGAGAGAGAGUGCAGAAGGUGGAGAGCUUACAUAAGCUUCUCAUAAACACAAGACACACACACACACACACACAACACACACACACACACACACACACACAUACACACACACACAUACACACACACAUACACACACACACAUACACACACACACAUACACACACACACACACGCACACACACACACUCUCUCCGCAUCGAACCCCCCUGGUCUACAUCUGAGAAAAUGUCUGGAGAAAUCUGCAGGGUGCUUCGAGAAAAAAAUAAUACUUUUACCCUCAGAGCAGCAGCCUAUUACACCUCCCAGAGAGGUGAGAAGAGGAGAGGAGAGGUGGAGUAGAUGUGAGGAGAGGUGGAGUAGAUGUGAGGAGAGGUGAAGGAGAUGUGAGGAGAGGAGAGGUGGAGAUGUGAGGAGAGGUGGAGGAGAUGUGAGGAGAGGUGGAGGAGAUGUGAGGAGAGGUGGAGGAGAUGUGAGGAGAGGUGGAGGAGAUGUGAGGAGAGGUGGAGGAUAGGUGGAGGAGAUGUGAGGAGAGGUGGAGGAGAUGUGAGGAGAUGGGAGGAGAGGUGGAGGAGAUGUGAGGAGAGGUGGAGGAGAUGUGAGGAGAUGGGAGGAGAGGUGGAGGAGAUGUGAGGAGAGGUGGAGGAGAUGUGAGGAGAGGUGGAGGAGAUGUGAUGAGAGGUGGAGGAGAGGUGGAGGAGAGGUGGAGGAGAUGUGAGGAGAGGUGGAGGAGAGGUGAGGAGAGGUGGAGGAGAUGUGAGGAGUCAUUUUCCACUGAAUAAAACCAUCCGUUGAGUUUCUCCUGGUAUUCCACAUGUACAUAAGUCAUGUGACCUCGGUGGACACACUGCACCUCCAGCAGGCCUCCUCUGACGGCUCCUCGGGGUCCUCACCUCUUUCUGGUGGUACUUGAUGGCCAGUUUGAGCUUGGCCAGGUCGUGGCACUGCCUCGGGUCCAGCUCCUCGCUCUGGUCGUUGUCUCUGUGGUUCAGGAUGGUCUCCAGCUCCCUGGAGCUCCUGGCCUGGUCCAGAAGGUCCUUGGCGAAGCGUUUGCACUGCUGGGACAGCUCCUCGUACUCCUGCCGGAACUCGUUCUCCACCUGAGAGGACGCAGGAGGUUCCUCCUGAAGGCCUCCGGUGCAACACAAGAGACUGACCGGUUCUACUUCCCGCCCUCACCUUGCUGAGCUCCUUGAGCUCCCAGCCCAGCCUGAAGGCCGUGAGGAUGGGGUCCUCGCUGGACAGCGCGAUGAGCGAGGGCGAGGCCAGCGCCUUGUAGAUGUUGAGUCGAGACCUCGAGUGCCGAAGACUGUCCACCUGCGGACGGAGACAGUCAGAGCGUGGAGGCCCUGAGCGGAGGCGGGGGAUCUCCUCGGUGGAGUCAUCACUCACCUCUGAGCUGGACACGCACUCCACACAGUCGCAUCGUAUCUGGUGUGGUCGGGGAAUGGUGACCUAAUCACAACAACCACAACAACAACAGGGUUACACACAAACAUCUCAGCUGGCGUGCCCAUGAGUCCACUGGAGAGGAAAGUCACCUUCCGCUGGACGAGCAGCUUGAUGAUCUCGUAGUUGUUGGUGUGAGCAGCGAGCAUGAUGGGAGUUAUGUCCGGGGUGAACUCUGAGAACUGACUGUCCAUCAUCAGCGAGGGGACCUGAAGACACGAAAGUGCUGUUGUCAUAAAUGUACUGUGUCAUGUGACAAACCCGCCGCGACCUCAUCAGAUGAUGGGAGGAGAACAAAGACAAACUCAAAGGAACUCUUAUUUUGAAAAUGUCACAAAGCGGUGACGGACCAAUCAGCCCCCUGGAGACGCCUGCUGGUUCGGAAACGAGGGAACAUCUGGGGGCCGUAAAGAGCUAUUGGGAGACAUCUGGAUCUGUGUCCAUUCAUUGAAAGGAGUAGUUUCACCUUACGGGAAACAACUUCUAACACACCUACGAACAGGUAGCCUAAAAGGACAACGCGUGCAGCCGCAUCCCGGAGUCUCCGCUGGUUGCCGGGCAACCGGACCAUGACGACGAGGCGUGCAGUGAAUCCUGGGAGGAGACGAUGACUGUUGUGUCGAAUAUUAAACAACGAUAAUUAUUCCUCCAAUGAGCAUUCAGAAGCUAAACGUAACGCGGCUCAGUGUUUACAAGAUGCCUUUGAGGUCAGUAGUUUAUUUAAGUCGUGGUUGACGCCGAUGUUUACACAAAUAAAAGCUUUACAUGUGUGAAUGUUUAAUACGCACAUUAAAGUAGAAAUAAAGAAACACACACUUGAGGAGGAACAUGUGGCCUCUUUCAUCUCACAGAGAAGCUUCUCUCUGUCCCUCCUCUGUCCUUGUCUCCUUCUCUCCUUCUCCUCGGCUCCUUCUCUCCUUCCUUUACACCUCUCUCUCUCUUCUCCUCGGCUCCUUCUCUCCUUCCUUAAAACCUCUCUCCUUCUCCUCGGCUCCUUCUCUCCUUCCUUUACACCUCUCUCUCCUUCUCCUCGGCUCCUUCUCUCCUUCC
ensembl:lncRNA